rnacentral:rRNA from 1 species
GAUGAACGCUGGCGGCGUGCUUAACACAUGCAAGUCGAACGGAAAGGCUCCUGCUUGCAGGGGUACUCGAGUGGCGAACGGGUGAGUAACACGUGGGUGAUCUGCCCUGCACUUCGGGAUAAGCCUGGGAAACUGGGUCUAAUACCGGAUAGGACCACAUUUUGGAUGGUGUGGUGGAAAGUUUUUCGGUGUGGGAUGAGCUCGCGGCCUAUCAGCUUGUUGGUGGGGUAAUGGCCUACCAAGGCGUCGACGGGUAGCCGGCCUGAGAGGGUGUACGGCCACAUUGGGACUGGGGUACGGCCCAGACUCCUACGGGAGGCAACAGUGGGGAAUAUUGCACCAUGGGGGGAAGGCUGAUGCAGCGACGCCGCGUGGGGGGUGAAGGCCUUCGGGUUGUAAACUCCUUUCGCUAGGGACGAAGCGCAAGUGACGGUACCUGGAGAAGAAGCACCGGCUAACUACGUG